UACGUAGGGUGCAAGCGUUAAUCGGAAUUACUGGGCGUAAAGCGUGCGCAGGCGGUGAUGUAAGACAGAUGUGAAAUCCCCGGGCUCAACCUGGGAACUGCAUUUGUGACUGCAUCGCUGGAGUACGGCAGAGGGGGAUGGAAUUCCGCGUGUAGCAGUGAAAUGCGUAGAUAUGCGGAGGAACACCGAUGGCGAAGGCAAUCCCCUGGGCCUGUAACUGACGCUCCAUGCACGAAAGCGUGGGAGC
rnacentral:rRNA from 1 species